rnacentral:rRNA from 1 species
UGGGGAAUCUUGCGCAAUGGGCGAAAGCCUGACGCAGCCAUGCCGCGUGAAUGAUGAAGGUCUUAGGAUUGUAAAAUUCUUUCACCGGGGACGAUAAUGACGGUACCCGGAGAAGAAGCCCCGGCUAACUUCGUGCCAGCAGCCGCGGUAAUACGAAGGGGGCUAGCGUUGCUCGGAAUUACUGGGCGUAAAGGGCGCGUAGGCGGAUCGUUAAGUCAGAGGUGAAAUCCCAGGGCUCAACCCUGGAACUGCCUUUGAUACUGGCGAUCUUGAGUAUGAGAGAGGUAUGUGGAACUCCGAGUGUAGAGGUGAAAUUCGUAGAUAUUCGGAAGAACACCAGUGGCGAAGGCGACAUACUGGCUCAUUACUGACGCUGAGGCGCGAAAGCAUGGGGAGCAAACAGG